UGUCGAAGAAGAGGUCGCAAAGAUCAUCAGUAAGCCGGUGGAGCUGAUAAAGCAGUGCUGAAACCGGACGAAAGGGAGAUUUGCCGAAGCAUGCUAUGCCUUUAUGCAGGCGAUGCUGGGCUUUAGUUGAAAAAACUGAAGACUGUCGCUGUAAAAAAUGCAGCGGAGCGCUAUCGAGAUG
rfam:Lactobacillus ruminis ATCC 27782, complete genome.